GAUGAACGCUGGCGGCGUGCCUAAUACAUGCAAGUCGAACGAAACUUCUUUAUCACCGAGUGCUUGCACUCACCGAUAAAGAGUUGAGUGGCGAACGGGUGAGUAACACGAGGGCAACCUGCCCAAAAGAGGGGGAUAACACUUGGAAACAGGUGCUAAUACCGCAUAACCAUAGUUACCGCAUGGUAACUAUGUAAAAGGUGGCUAUACUACCGCUUUUGGAUGGGCCCGCGGCGCAUUAGCUAGUUGGUAGGGUAAAGGCUUACCAAGGCAAUGAUGCGUAGCCGAAUUGAGAGGUUGAUCGGCCACAUUGGGACUGAGACACGGCCCAAACUCCUACGGGAGGCAGCAGUAGGGAAUCUUCCACAAUGGGCGAAAGCCUGAUGGAGCAACGCCGCGUGGGUGAAGAAGGUCUUCGGAUCGUAAAACCCUGUUGUUAGAGAAGAAAGUGCGUGAGAGUAACUGUUCACGUUUCGACGGUAUCUAACCAGAAAGCCACGGCUAACUACGUG
rnacentral:rRNA from 1 species